CGAAAAUGCUGCAACUUGAGCAGCAAGCAGAAGAGGAUGACGACGACAAGGAUGUGGCUCUGGGACUGGCAAAAGAAUAUCGAAGUUUGUCAUCUCACCUGAUGUAUCCCUGCACCAUUGCAAAGAAACCCCACAACGUCAACAAGAAUCGUUAUGGCAACAUGUUACCGUACGAUCACUCCCGGGUCAUUCUGAAUCACAGCAGAGCCCAUGGUGAUGGAUUUAUCAACGCCAGCUACAUCCAUGGAUAUAAGAAGACCAACUAUUACAUUGCAACACAAGGU